rnacentral:tRNA from 2 species
GCGGGCGUAGCUCAAUGGCAGAGCGAGAGCUUCCCAAGCUCCAGACGAGGGUUCGAUUCCCUUCGCCCGCUCCA